rnacentral:snRNA from 1 species
AUCGCUUCUCAGCCUUUUGGCUAAGAUCAAGUGUAGUAUCUGUUCUUAUCAGUUUAAUAUCUGAUACAUCCUCUAUCUGAGGACAAUAUAUUUAAAAAAUCAGCAUACUAC